CCCAGGCAGUGUCUCAAAGAGGGCAACACCCUCCACUCAGAAAUGCUCAGCACAGAAACGUGACCAUGGAGCAGAGCUUAGACAUGGGUGACACCCGGCCACCAGGCCUGUCUGAAGCAGGGCUUAAGUCCUAGGUAAGGACUUCUCAGCAGUACCCCCUCUCCCCUGCAAAGAGUGGGUCAGAAGCUGCCCUAGACUGGGCGGUACCAGAGCUGAGGCCAGGGUGCCCACAUCUCAG
rnacentral:lncRNA from 1 species